rnacentral:rRNA from 1 species
GUUGUAUGGUUAAGUGACUAAGCGUACACGGUGGAUGCCUUGGCAGUCAGAGGCGAUGAAGGACGUAUUAACUUGCGAUAAGCCCAGAUUAGGUAGUAAAAACCACUUGAGUCUGGGAUUUCCGAAUGGGGAAACCCACUAGCAUAAGCUAGUAUCGCUGCGUGAAUACAUAGCGCAGCGAGGCGAACCGGGGGAACUGAAACAUCUAAGUACCCCGAGGAAAAGAAAUCAACCGAGAUUCCGAAAGUAGCGGCGAGCGAAAUUGGACUAGCCCUUAAGCUUUAUAUGCGUUAGACGAACGGUCUGGAAAGUCCGGCAAUAAAGGGUGAUAGCCCCGUAGUUGACAACGCACAUUCAGUGAAAUCGAGUAGGGCGGGACACGUGAUAUCCUGUCUGAAUAUGGGGGGACCAUCCUCCAAGGCUAAAUACUACUGACUGACCGAUAGUGAACCAGUACCGUGAGGGAAAGGCGAAAAGAACCCCUGUGAGGGGAGUGAAAUAGAACCUGAAACCGUGUACGUACAAGCAGUAGGAGCACCUUCGUGGUGUGACUGCGUACCUUUUGUAUAAUGGGUCAGCGACUUAUAUUCAGUGGCAAGGUUAACCAUCUAGGGGAGCCGUAGCGAAAGCGAGUGUUAACUGCGCGACUUAGUCGCUGGAUAUAGACCCGAAACCAGGUGAUCUAGCCAUGGGCAGGUUGAAGAUUGAGUAACAUCAAUUGGAGGACCGAACCGACUAAUGUUGAAAAAUUAGCGGAUGACUUGUGGCUAGGGGUGAAAGGCCAAUCAAACCUGGAGAUAGCUGGUUCUCCCCGAAAGCUAUUUAGGUAGCGCCUCGGACGAAUACUACUGGGGGUAGAGCACUGUUAAGGCUAGGGGGUCAUCCCGACUUACCAACCCUUUGCAAACUCCGAAUACCAGUAAGUACUAUCCGGGAGACACACGGCGGGUGCUAACGUCCGUCGUGGAGAGGGAAACAACCCAGACCGCCAGCUAAGGUCCCAAAUUAUUACUAAGUGGGAAACGAUGUGGGAAGGCUCAGACAGCCAGGAUGUUGGCUUAGAAGCAGCCAUCAUUUAAAGAAAGCGUAAUAGCUCACUGGUCGAGUCGGCCUGCGCGGAAGAUGUAACGGGGCUAAGUAAUAAACCGAAGCUGCGGCAAUGAAGUUUACUUCAUUGGGUAGGGGAGCGUUCUGUAAGCCGUUGAAGGUGUGUUGUAAAGCAUGCUGGAGGUAUCAGAAGUGCGAAUGCUGACAUGAGUAACGAUAAAGGGGGUGAAAAACCUCCUCGCCGGAAGACCAAGGGUUCCUGUCCAACGUUAAUCGGGGCAGGGUAAGUCGACCCCUAAGGCGAGGCCGAAAGGCGUAGUCGAUGGGAAACGGGUUAAUAUUCCCGUACUUCUUACAAUUGCGAUGGGGGGACGGAGAAGGCUAGGUGGGCCUGGCGACGGUUGUCCAGGUUCAAGUGCGUAGGCCGAAGAGUUAGGUAAAUCCGGCUCUUCUUAAGGCUGAGACACGACGUCGAGCUACUACGGUAGUGAAGUCAUUGAUGCCAUGCUUCCAGGAAAAGCCUCUAAGCUUCAGAUUGUAAGGAAUCGUACCCCAAACCGACACAGGUGGUCGGGUAGAGAAUACCAAGGCGCUUGAGAGAACUCGGGUGAAGGAACUAGGCAAAAUGGUACCGUAACUUCGGGAGAAGGUACGCUCUUGAUGGUGAAGUCCCUUGCGGAUGGAGCUGACGAGAGUCGCAGAUACCAGGUGGCUGCAACUGUUUAUUAAAAACACAGCACUGUGCAAAAUCGUAAGAUGACGUAUACGGUGUGACGCCUGCCCGGUGCCGGAAGGUUAAUUGAUGGGGUUAGACUUCGGUCGAAGCUCUUGAUCGAAGCCCCGGUAAACGGCGGCCGUAACUAUAACGGUCCUAAGGUAGCGAAAUUCCUUGUCGGGUAAGUUCCGACCUGCACGAAUGGCGUAAUGAUGGCCACGCUGUCUCCACCCGAGACUCAGUGAAAUUGAAAUCGCUGUGAAGAUGCAGUGUACCCGCGGCUAGACGGAAAGACCCCGUGAACCUUUACUACAGCUUGGCACUGAACAUUGACCCUACAUGUGUAGGAUAGGUGGGAGGCUUUGAAGCACAGUCGCUAGAUUGUGUGGAGCCGUCCUUGAAAUACCACCCUUGUAGUGUUGAUGUUCUAACGUCGACCCCUUAUCGGGGUUGCGGACAGUGCCUGGUGGGUAGUUUGACUGGGGCGGUCUCCUCCCAAAGAGUAACGGAGGAGCACGAAGGUGGGCUAAUCACGGUUGGACAUCGUGAGGUUAGUGCAAUGGCAUAAGCCCGCUUGACUGCGAGAAUGACAAUUCGAGCAGGUGCGAAAGCAGGUCAUAGUGAUCCGGUGGUUCUGUAUGGAAGGGCCAUCGCUCAACGGAUAAAAGGUACUCCGGGGAUAACAGGCUGAUACCGCCCAAGAGUUCAUAUCGACGGCGGUGUUUGGCACCUCGAUGUCGGCUCAUCACAUCCUGGGGCUGAAGUCGGUCCCAAGGGUAUGGCUGUUCGCCAUUUAAAGUGGUACGCGAGCUGGGUUUAGAACGUCGUGAGACAGUUCGGUCCCUAUCUGCCGUGGGCGUUGGAAGAUUGAAGGGGGCUGCUCCUAGUACGAGAGGACCGGAGUGGACGAACCUCUGGUGUUCGGGUUGUGUCGCCAGACGCAUUGCCCGGUAGCUAAGUUCGGAAUCGAUAACCGCUGAAAGCAUCUAAGCGGGAAGCGAGCCCUGAGAUGAGUCUUCCCUGAUACUUUAAGUAUCCUAAAGGGUUGUUCGAGACUAGAACGUUGAUAGGCAGGGUGUGUAAGCGUUGUGAGGCGUUGAGCUAACCUGUACUAAUUGCCCGUGAGGCUUAACCAUACAACACCCAAGGGGUUU